rnacentral:misc_RNA from 1 species
GAUGAAGAACGUAGUGAAAUGCGAUAAGUAAUGUGAAUUGCAGAAUUCAGUGAAUCAUCGAAUCUUUGAACGCACAUUGCGCCCCCUGGUAUUCCGGGGGGCAUGCCUGUCAGAGCGUCAUUACAACCCUCAAGCUCAGCUUGGUGUUGGGCCCCGCCGCCCCGGCGGGCCCUAAAGUCAGUGGCGGUGCCGUCCGGCUCCGAGCGUAGUAAUUCUUCUCGCUCUGGAGGUCCGGUCGUUUGCUCGCCAGCAACCCCCAAUUUUUUUCAGGUUGACCUCGGAUCAGGUAGGGAUACCCGCUGAACUUAAGCAUAUCAAUAAGCGGAGGA